rnacentral:rRNA from 1 species
GAUGAACGCUGGUGGCGUGCUUAACACAUGCAAGUCGAACGAAGCGCCUUAUUUGAUUUUCUUCGGAACUGAAGAUUUGGUGACUGAGUGGCGGACGGGUGAGUAACGCGUGGGUAACCUGCCCUGUACAGGGGGAUAACAGUUAGAAAUGACUGCUAAUACCGCAUAAGACCACAGCACCGCAUGGUGCAGGGGUAAAAACUCCGGUGGUACAGGAUGGACCCGCGUCUGAUUAGCUGGUUGGUGAGGUAACGGCUCACCAAGGCGACGAUCAGUAGCCGGCUUGAGAGAGUGAACGGCCACAUUGGGACUGAGACACGGCCCAAACUCCUACGGGAGGCAGCAGUGGGGAAUAUUGCACAAUGGGGGGAACCCUGAUGCAGCGACGCCGCGUGAGUGAAGAAGUAUUUCGGUAUGUAAAGCUCUAUCAGCAGGGAAGAAAAUGACGGUACCUGACUAAGAAGCCCCGGCUAACUACGUGCCAGCAG